rnacentral:RNase_P_RNA from 1 species
UGAGUCGGCCGGGCAAUCGCGGCUCCCCGAACCGCCGCGCAUGCGGACAGGCGGGGGUCGAGGAAAGUCCGGACUCCACAGGGCACGGUGGUUGCCAACAGCAACCCGGAGCGAUCCGCGGGAAAGUGCAACAGAGAGUAGACCGCCCGCGCCAUGCGGGUAAGGGUGAAAGGGUGCGGUAAGAGCGCACCGGCAUGCGUGGCGACACGUGUGGCCAGGUAAACCCCACCGGGAGCAAGGCAAGAGCCCCCGCUUUCGAGCGGAGGUCGUCGGACGCGAUGGAGGCUGCCCGCCCAGUCCGAAGGUAGCUGCUCGAGGCCCCCAGCAAUGGGAGGUCCAGAUGGAUGAUUGCCACCUGGCGCGUGCCGGGGACAGAAUCCGGCUUACAGGCCGGCUCAUUCG